UUUGGUCAUAAUAUUAUCUGCA
rnacentral:piRNA from 1 species